rnacentral:rRNA from 1 species
CCUACGGGGGGCAGCAGUGGGGAAUUUUGGACAAUGGGCGCAAGCCUGAUCCAGCAAUGCCGCGUGAGUGAAGAAGGCCUUCGGGUUGUAAAGCUCUUUUGUGGAACGCGCGGUACCUGAAGAAUAAGCACCGGCUAACUACGUGCCAGCAGCCGCGGUAAUACGUAGGGUGCAAGCGUUAAUCGGAAUUACUGGGCGUAAAGCGUGCGCAGGCGGUUUUGUAAGUCUGACGUGAAAUCCCCGAGCUUAACUUGGGAAUUGCGUUGGAGACUGCAAGGCUGGAGUCUGGCAGAGGGGGGUAGAAUUCCACGUGUAGCAGUGAAAUGCGUAGAGAUGUGGAGGAACACCGAUGGCGAAGGCAGCCCCCUGGGUCAGCUGACGCUCAUGCACGAAAGCGUGGGGAGCAAACAGGAUUAGAUACCCUUGUAGUC